rnacentral:rRNA from 1 species
UGGGGAAUCUUAGACAAUGGGGGAAACCCUGAUCUAGCCAUGCCGCGUGAUCGAUGAAGGCCUUAGGGUUGUAAAGAUCUUUCAGUGGGGAAGAUAAUGACUGUACCCACAGAAGAAGCCCCGGCUAACUCCGUGCCAGCAGCCGCGGUAAUACGGAGGGGGCUAGCGUUGUUCGGAAUUACUGGGCGUAAAGCGCACGUAGGCGGACCGGAAAGUCAGAGGUGAAAUCCCAGGGCUCAACCUUGGAACUGCCUUUGAAACUCCUGGUCUUGAGGUCGAGAGAGGUGAGUGGAAUUCCGAGUGUAGAGGUGAAAUUCGUAGAUAUUCGGAGGAACACCAGUGGCGAAGGCGGCUCACUGGCUCGAUACUGACGCUGAGGUGCGAAAGCGUGGGGAGCAAACA